CCCGGGGCCGGCAGGAAUCUCUCUUCCCCAGGGAUGCCAAGCGCGACUUCGCCGUCGCGACCGUAAGCUGGAGAGAAAGAAAGUUGGUAUACACAAAGAGAUGUGCAUGCACAUGAAAACACAGAGCCCAUCUGCUAGAAUAGACUUGAUGGUUUCACAGAAAUGAGACACAGAGAAGAGGAAUUAUUUGUGGAAUGCAUCAUCAGCCAAGUCUCAACACACACACUGGAAAGAAUUGGCGUAGGCUCACCUGGUUUUGCAUGCAGAGGAGUCUUGAAGUGUAGGAGUUUGGACUGGUUUUUCUUUUUAAUUCUUUUCAUUAAUGCUACAAAACAACAGAUGCAAAUUUCCCAUUGCCUGCUUGCUUUUCACAUUUCUCAAAGUCAGAAUAACUAG
rnacentral:lncRNA from 1 species